rnacentral:rRNA from 1 species
UUGACCUCGAAUUAGGUAAGAAUACCCGCUGAACUUAAGCAUAUCAAUAA